AUUGAACGCUGGCGGCAGGCCUAACACAUGCAAGUCGAACGAGUGGCGGACGGGUGAGUAAUGUUUGGGAAUCUGGCUGAUGGAGGGGGAUAACUACUGGAAACUGUCGCUAAUACCGCGUACCAUAGGAUGAGCCCAAGUGGUAUUAGCUAGUUGGUGGGGUAAUGGCAUACCUAGGCGACGAUCCCUAGCUGGUCUGAGAGGAUGACCAGCCCCACCGGAACUGAGACACGGCCCGGACUCCUACGGUAGGCAGCAGUGGGGAAUAUUGCGCAAUGGGGGCAACCCUGACGCAGCCAUGCCGCGUGAAUGAAGAAGGCCUUCGGGUUGUAAAGUACUUUCGGUGGGGAGGCGUUAAUCAAAGAAGAAGCACCGGCUAACUCCGUGCCAGCAGCCGCGGUAAUAG
rnacentral:rRNA from 1 species